rnacentral:rRNA from 1 species
UGGGGAAUAUUGCACAAUGGGCGCAAGCCUGAUGCAGCCAUGCCGCGUGUGUGAAGAAGGCCUUCGGGUUGUAAAGCACUUUCAGCGAGGAGGAAGGUGGUGAGCUUAAUACGCUCAUCAAUUGACGUUACUCGCAGAAGAAGCACCGGCUAACUCCGUGCCAGCAGCCGCGGUAAUACGGAGGGUGCAAGCGUUAAUCGGAAUUACUGGGCGUAAAGCGCACGCAGGCGGUUUGUUAAGUCAGAUGUGAAAUCCCCGGGCUCAACCUGGGAACUGCAUUUGAAACUGGCAAGCUAGAGUCUCGUAGAGGGGGGUAGAAUUCCAGGUGUAGCGGUGAAAUGCGUAGAGAUCUGGAGGAAUACCGGUGGCGAAGGCGGCCCCCCUGGACGAAGACUGACGCUCAGGUGCGAAAGCGUGGGGCAGCAAACAGGAUUAGAUACCCUGGUAGUCCAGCGCUGUAAACGAUGUCGAUUUGGAGGUUGUGCCCUUGAGGCGUGGCUUCCGGAGCUAACGCGUUAAAUCGACCGCCAGGGGAGUACGGCCGCAAGGUUAAAACUUAAAGGAAUUGACGGGGUCAUAGCUG